GCUAAGCCCUAAACUUUGAUAGCCCUUUUUACUACGCUAUCCGCCAGAGAACUACUAGUGAAAAACUUAAAACUCAAAGGACUUGGCGGUGUCCCACUUCGGCCUAGAGGAGCCUGUCCUAUAAUCGAUACCCCUCGCUCCACCCGACCUUUACUUGCACAUUCAGCCUAUAUACCGCCGUCGACAGUCUACCCCAUGAGGGUUUAUUAGUAGACACAAUAGCAAAAGCUCGCUAACACGUCAGGUCAAGGUGUAGCAAAUGUUAAGGAAGUGAUUGGCUACAUUUUUUACUUUAAAAAAAACGAAAUGCAACAUGAAACAAUGCACGAAGGUGAAUUUAGUAGUAAAAUAAACAAGAGAGUUUAUUUUAACACCGCUCUGGGACGCGC
rnacentral:rRNA from 1 species